rnacentral:rRNA from 1 species
CCUACGGGAGGCAGCAGUGGGGAAUAUUGGACAAUGGGGGGAACCCUGAUCCAGCCAUGCCGCGUGUGUGAAGAAGGCCCUCGGGUUGUAAAGCACUUUCAGUGAGGAAGAACGCCUGGUGGUUAAUACCCAUCAGGAAAGACAUCACUCACAGAAGAAGCACCGGCUAACUCCGUGCCAGCAGCCGCGGUAAUACGGAGGGUGCGAGCGUUAAUCGGAAUUACUGGGCGUAAAGCGCGCGUAGGUGGCUUGAUAAGCCGGUUGUGAAAGCCCCGGGCUCAACCUGGGAACGGCAUCCGGAACUGUCAAGCUAGAGUGCAGGAGAGGAAGGUAGAAUUCCCGGUGUAGCGGUGAAAUGCGUAGAGAUCGGGAGGAAUACCAGUGGCGAAGGCGGCCUUCUGGACUGACACUGACACUGAGGUGCGAAAGCGUGGGUAGCAAACAGGAUUAGAUACCCUGUAGUC